rnacentral:lncRNA from 1 species
GUGUGAGCCACUGCAUCCAGCCUCCACUCACCUCUUAAAGGCCCAUCUGUCAAUAUUGCCACAUUAGGGAUUAAAUUUCAACUGAGUUUUGAAGGGGACAAAUAUUCAAAUCAUAGCAGUACCCAUGGGACAUUCAAGUGGAGAUGCCUAGUUGGGAGUUCUGGGAAAGGAAAUGAACUAAGAUUUAGAAGGCAUCCGCAUCUGAGUGGGAACUAUAUGGGUGAAUAUAUGAAAUCGUCCAUGAUGAGUGAGCAGAGGGCAAAGACAAGUGAGCCACUGACACCCAACAAAAUACCAACAUUUUUAGGUUGUGGGGUGAGGGGCAGAGUUUCGC